rnacentral:rRNA from 1 species
CAGGCAAAUUCCUGGAGCCCGUGAAAAGGGGGAUGAAUGACCGUACCGAGAUCUGACACAGGUGCCCCUAGCUGAAGAGGCUAAGGCGUGUCGGUUUAAUCGUGUUAAGGGAACUCGGCAAAUUGGCCCCGUAACUUUGGGAUAAGGGGUGCCUGCCUGGCGAUCAGGCAGGUCGCAGUGACCAGGGGGCUCUGACUGUCUAAUAACAACAUAGGUGACUGCAACUCGGAAACGAUUAGUAUAGUCACUGAUUCCUGCCCAGUGCGAGUAUCUGAAUACCGGGUUCAACCGGACGAAGGACUCGUAAACGGCGGGGGUAACUAUGACCCUCUUAAGGUAGCGUAGUACCUUGUCGCUUAAUUGGCGACUUGCAUGAAUGGAUUAACAAGAGCCCUACUGUCCCUAACACGAAUCCGUUGAACAUUUCAUCCUAGUGCAGAGACUAGGGACUCCAGAUGGGAAGUGAAGACCCCGUGGAGCUUUACUGCAGCCUGUCGCUGUGUUACGGUAUUCCUUGCGCAGCGUAGAUGGGAGGCGUCGAACCACCCCUUCCGGGGGGUGGGGAGCCGUCAAUGAGACACCAUCCUUGGUUUACUGUAACACUAACUCUCUUCGGAGAGGACAACGGUAGGUAGGCAGUUUGGGUGGGGCGCCACACCCUCGAAAAAAUAUCAAGGGUGCCCUAUGGUCAACUCAUGUGAGUCAGAAACUCACAGGAGAGUGUCAAGAGCAUAAGUUGGCCUGACGCGAUUACGCAAAGCAAGUAAUCGCGAGAGGAAACUCGGGUCUAACGAACCAAUGAGCCUUAUUGAUGAGGGCCAUUGACGACAGAAAAGCUACCCCGGGGAUAACAGAGUCGUCGCCGGCAAGAGCACAUAUCGACCCGGCGGCUUGCUACCUCGAUGUCGGUUCUUUCCAUCCUGGCCGUGCAGCAGCGGCCAAGGGUGAGGUUGUUCGCCUAUUAAAGGGGAUCGUGAGCUGGGUUUAGACCGUCGUGAGACAGGUCGGUUACUAUCUAUCUGGAGUGU